AGAUGUCACUCUCUUCUGAUGCUGAUGUGUGUGUAAUGAAGCAAUUGUAUCUGUAUUCCCAAGUAGCCAAUCCUGUAACACAGGAGUACAGUCAGGGCCAUCUUUCCUCAUGGGCACACUGGGCAGUUUCCCAGAGGGCCCCACUGGGAUGCGUCCAGGCCAGCAGGGGAGAUCCUUUGAUGUCCCCUGCCAGCCCAUGCAGAGCCGG